UACCGACGCUAAAAAGCGUCGUUAAUGACCGACGCUUUUGAAAAUGUUUUAUCCACUGUAGCAUAGGCGACGCUUUACCGAUGCUUGGGAUAGCGUCAGGAUGGUUUUUACCGACGCUUAAAAGCGUUGCUAAUGGCCAAAAAAAGCGUCGCUAAUGCCCAAUUUUCUUGUAGUGAAAUGCGUUAACUAACAUAGUAAUAUAUUACCUAUGAUGAGUUUAGAAUAUGUUAUUGUAUCUUGUGUGCAUGUUUUUUAUGAUCUAGAAUGGUUUCCAUUCGAGCUUAAGGGAAGCCAAACCUGAAUCAACUCCAAGCAACAUAUUCUUACCUAUAAAAUAUCUCAAAAUAAUUCAGUCUAACCCAUCACGGUUAAGGCCAAGCCCACAACGCUCUGGCCGACUCUAAACCCACUGCCAACGAUAUUAGUAAUUGCUAGAUAUAUGAUGUCGAUGUAGAUUACAUCCAAAAGAAGUUACAAGAACCUAUCAAAAAGAUAUAGGUUUUCCUUGAACCGAAUGUUAUGUGGCCACAUUAAGUAUCAAGCAUCCAGCUGUCCGGAAAAAAAAUUGACAAACAAAAUUUAGGAAAUUAAACAUAAGAAUACACACCAGUAGCUAGUAGAUGUAUGGGUAAAUAUGUAUGCUUGUACAUAUUUAAUGAACAAUCAGUUGGAUCGAUUGAAGUGUUUUUAAUAACAUAGAUUGAAACAUAAUUUAAUGCUAUGUUAGAGUGCACACUUUUGGACACUGCUGCUAUUCAAAUAGUAAAAGAUGAAGCGUGCUAGUUUUCAAUACAUCAGAAACCCAAGACAGUCUUUGUCUAAUUCUACUCCUGAGUAAUAAUAUAAUAAAUUUGCUAAUUUCUUUCUAUUAAAAAAAUCUAGAUGACAGUUAAAAAGAUACAUAAAGAAAAGGUUCUGAAACUAUGGGCUAGUUAGAUUACUAGGGGUGCAACUUUAUAAGGACUCGACCAAAUUAAACCUGCCCCUCCAACCCAUUCACUGCAUGGGGUUAGAUUGAAGCCUUAUAAAUUUGGAUUGGGUUUGGGAAUAAAUAUCCAACUCGAUCUCAAGUAGCUUAGUUUAGGGUUCACAGUAAACCCAAUCCAAUUAUUUAUAAAUAAAAAUAUAGUUUAUGUAGAUUAUUUUUAUAUUUUUAUAUUUAUAUUUGUAGUCAUGUUAAAUUAUUUGUGAGUAUAUCAUUGAAAUUGAUGAAUAGUUGAUAUCUCAAUUCAAUAGAUAUUUAAUCUAACAAAAAAAUCUAAAACAUUUUUCUAUCUUAAAAUAUCUAUUCAAGCCGAUCUCACCCAAUCAAGGUGGUACAAACUAAACCCAUCUAACCUAAUCUAAUCGGAAUUUAGCUUGAGAUUAGAUUAGGUUGGUUAAAGGCUAGAGAUAUCCUAACCCAAGGUCGGGUUGGUUAAGUUAGAGGUUGUUUUCAACCCAAUCAACCCACUCGAGUUGUAGCCAUUUAGACUAUGAAACAUAAUGAAGCAUCACCAAGAAUAAAGUCUAGUAUUUGAUAUAACAUAUUUAUCCAUAAUUCAAUUGCUUUCUUGCGACUGAAUGAGCAAUUUUAAUACUCCAAUAAGCCACUUUAAAUACUACUAUUGGCCUUCAGGCGCAUAUAAUAGCUAGCUCAUUAGUCUAUACGAAACUUCACUAACUUUGCCAUACAAUGGUCUUAAAUAAUAAUUAAGGGUUAUUGAGAUAAGCUAAUGUAAAAAUAAUGGCAAUUUUUUUCAUUAUUUUUUAGUAUUUUUUAAUCAUUAUAACAUACUGUUAUAAUGUAAACAAUGAUCAAUAUGUUUUAAUUGUACCUUCAUUUGAAUAAAAUAAUAUUUUUAAAUUCAUUUUUUACCUAAACAUUCUCCCCAAAAAUGAUUGUUUAGUCCAAAAAAUAAUACUUUAUCUAAUGAAAGUGAAUUCCAGAUUUUUCUCAUUAUUAUCCAUUAUUUCCUAUUACAACACCAUUGCAACAGUCGUUACCAAUGAUUAUUUUAAAAUUAAAAAUUUGAGAAGUUGUUUUUUGAGAAAAAUAAAAAUCAUUAUAAUGGUCAAUAAUGUUUUCAAUAAUUAUUUCGAUGCAGUCCAUUGUAAUAGGAUGAAACAUUAUUUAAAACCUUUGGCCAUAUAAAGCAUCCCCAUUAAAAAGUCUAAUAUAUCCAUGCAUUAUUAUGAUAGUAGCCAAAAUAAAAAACAUACACAAAAUUUUUUUAAAAAAGGAAAAUACAAAAGUACCUGGAAAACUAAUGAUAAUUGGAUAUCCAUUGUCUAAAAGGAUGCUCGUUAUCCAAAUAGAAAGGCUUAUUGGAUAUCCUGAGUACUUCUUUCAUAACUCAAUAAUAGACUUGCUGAUAUCUUAAGUUUUAUCCUAUUUUUCCUAAAUCCUUUAACAAAAAUUAAAUUACAUCUUUUUCUUGAUGUUUCUUGGCACUUUCCUUCUAUAUAUCCAUACCACCUAAAAAGUCCAGUCUCCAUAAGUUUAUCCAUUUCUUUUGAGGAAACCCUUAACUUCAUCCUUAAACAAUGUCACUCUUAUAAUUAUUUUAAUGCACCCUUCUUCCUAGUU
rnacentral:lncRNA from 1 species